AAUAUAAAAAGGCUUGUCCACUAUGUUGGUUCUCCUUCAGAGCUCACAGAUCGGGCAACUAUCGGCAAGUCUUUCCUUCAACUCAACAAUUAGCUAAGAUGAGGUGUAUCCAAAUGUUGCUCCUGCCCAUCGCCUUCCUCGUGCUAUCAUCAGAUGUGAUAAUGGAGGCGUCGGCGGGCAUUGGCAUUGAUCCCAUCUCCUGUAUGUCAAACAUUAUUCAGCCGUCGCCAAAGCCAUGUGAUAACCAAACUUGUCGUAAGGCAUGCGUCGAACGUAUAGGGUACGGCACAGAAGGCAAGUGUGUUACCGAGGGGUGCGAGUGUACGUACUGCACAAAUUGGCCUCCACGACAAUCAACAAAUGAGCCCUGAUUUAGAUAGGAUGGGAUGUCAUGUUGAAUUGAAUAAUGCAACAGAGAUCAUAAAUGGUGUAAUAGCAAUGUUGUUCACUGAUAAGUCAUAUGAAGAAUGAUGAAUUUGGACUUGCUUA